UACGUAGGGUGCGAGCGUUGUCCGGAAUUAUUGGGCGUAAAGAGCUCGUAGGCGGUGUGUCACGUCGGCCGUGAAAACCUGGGGCUUAACUCUGGGCGUGCGGUCGAUACGGGCAUCACUAGAGUUCGGCAGGGGAGACUGGAAUUCCUGGUGUAGCGGUGAAAUGCGCAGAUAUCAGGAGGAACACCGGUGGCGAAGGCGGGUCGCUGGGCCGAUACUGACGCUGAGGAGCGAAAGCAUGGGGAGCGAACAGG
rnacentral:rRNA from 1 species